UGGGGAAUAUUGGGCAAUGGACGCAAGUCUGACCCAGCAACGCCGCGUGAAGGAAGAAGGCUUUCGGGUUGUAAACUUCUUUUGUCAGGGAACAGUAGAAGAGGGUACCUGACGAAUAAGCCACGGCUAACUACGUGCCAGCAGCCGCGGUAAUACGUAGGUUGCAAGCGUUGUCCGGAUUUACUGGGUGUAAAGGGCGUGUAGGCGGAGAUGCAAGUUGGGAGUGAAAUCCAUGGGCUUAACCCAUGAACUGCUCUCAAAACUGUAUCCCUUGAGUAUCGGAGAGGCAAGCGGAAUUCCUAGUGUAGCGGUGAAAUGCGUAGAUAUUAGGAGGAACACCAGUGGCGAAGGCGGCUUGCUGGACGACAACUGACGCUGAGGCGCGAAAGCGUGGGGAGCAAACAGGAUUAGAUACCCUGGUAGU
rnacentral:rRNA from 1 species